rnacentral:rRNA from 1 species
AGCGCCCCCGCAAGGGGGAGCGGCGGACGGGUGAGUAACGCGUGGGAAUUUUCCUCAAGGUACGGAACAACUCAGGGAAACUUGGGCUAAUACCGUAUGAUGUCUAGCGACCAAAGAUUUAUCGCCUUGGGAUAAGCCCGCGUCAGAUUAGGUAGUUGGUGGGGUAACGGCCUACCAAGCCUGCGAUCUGUAGCUGGUCUGAGAGGACGAUCAGCCACACUGGGACUGAGACACGGCCCAGACUCCUACGGGAGGCAGCAGUGGGGAAUCUUGCGCAAUGGGCGAAAGCCUGACGCAGCCAUGCCGCGUGAAUGAUGAAGGUCUUAGGAUUGUAAAGUUCUUUCGCCCGUGACGAUGAUGACGGUAACGGGAGAAGAAGCCCCGGCUAACUUCGUGCCAGCAGCCGCGGUAAUACGAAGGGGGCUAGCGUUGUUCGGAAUUACUGGGCGUAAAGCGCGCGUAGGCGGUUUUGCAAGCCAGAGGUGAAAUGCCUGAGCUCAACUUAGGAAUUGCCUUUGGGACUGCGAGGCUUUGAGGACUGGAGAGGUGAGUGGAAUUCCCAGUGUAGAGGUGAAAUUCGUAGAUAUUGGGAAGAACACCAGUGGCGAAGGCGGCUCACUGGCCAGUUUCUGACGCUGCAGCGCGAAAGCGUGGGGAUCAAACAGGAUUAGAUACCCUGGUAGUCCACGCUGUAAACGAU